rnacentral:rRNA from 1 species
GGCGAACGACUGUCCGGCGGCAGGGGGUAUACGUAGGGGGCGAGGGUUGGCCUGAUGUAUUGGGUUUAAAGGGUGCGGGGGCGGCCCUGUAAGGCAGCGGUGAAAGACGGCAGCGCAACUGUCGAGGUGCCGGUGAUACUGCGGGGCUGGAGUACCGAUGAGGCAGGCGGAAUUGACGGUGUAGCGGUGAAAUGCUUAGAUAUCGUCAAGAACACCGAUAGCGAAGGCAGCCUGCCAAGGGGUAACUGACGCUGAGGCACGAAAGUGCGGGGAUCAAACAGGAUUAGAUACCCUAGUAUC